rnacentral:rRNA from 1 species
UACGUAGGGUGCGAGCGUUGUCCGGAAUUAUUGGGCGUAAAGAGCUUGUAGGCGGCUUGUCGCGUCUGCUGUGAAAAUCUGAAGCUCAACCUCGGACUUGCAGUGGGUACGGGCAGGCUAGAGUGUGGUAGGGGAGACUGGAAUUCCUGGUGUAGCGGUGAAAUGCGCAGAUAUCAGGAGGAACACCGAUGGCGAAGGCAGGUCUCUGGGCCACUACUGACGCUGAGAAGCGAAAGCAUGGGGAGCGAACAGG